GCUGUGUCUGCCUGGUCACCUUCCCUAGCCGGAGCCUGAUGGAAGGAAGAGCCACGGGGCCCAGAUAGAUCUGCAAAGCUGGAGAUAUAAGCCUCCUGAGCAGCCAAGGCAACCCUUCACAGCAAGGACAGAGGGAAGAUAACUUGUAAACCCCCAAGCGCAAGUUCACAGUAAGAGAAGUUUACCUUCUCCAGAACAGCAAGAUUAUGAGACACACAGUGAGAACAACCAGGAGGACACUAAGCACAGCACCAACAGCCUGGCUUCUCCUUGA